AAUAUACAAAGCUUUCCAAAAAGGAAAUCUACUGAAGGGUUUUGACAGGGGAGGGACAUGUUCUGACUUAUUUUUUAAGUUCAUUUUGCUGUGGGGAGAAAGGUUUAGAGGCUGGUAAGAACGGAAGCAGAUGGAGACUAAUUAGAAAACUAUUGUUACAUUCCCAAGGAAUAAAGGUAGCUUGGUCCAGGAUGGAGAUGUGUGAUGGAGAAGAUGACAAAGUCUCUCUAGAGCAGGGCUCAGAAAAAAGAAAGAGGAAGAAAGAAGAAAGUCAAAAGGAUGAAAGAACAAAAGCAGCUCCACAUAGAAAGAUAGACUCUUUUGCCAGCACAUUUAAGAAUCUAAAUGAGGCCAAGUGCCACGCAGAUAGAGGGACUCUGCCUGCUGCAUAG
rnacentral:lncRNA from 1 species